AGUGAACGCUGGCGGUAGGCCUAACACAUGCAAGUCGAACGGCAGCACAGUAAGAGCUUGCUCUUACGGGUGGCGAGUGGCGGACGGGUGAGGAAUACAUCGGAAUCUACUUUUUCGUGGGGGAUAACGUAGGGAAACUUACGCUCAUACCGCAUACGACCUACGGGUGAAAGCAGGGGAUCUUCGGACCUUGCGCGAUUGAAUGAGCCGAUGUCGGAUUAGCUAGUUGGCGGGGUAAAGGCCCACCAAGGCGACGAUCCGUAGCUGGUCUGAGAGGAUGAUCAGCCACACUGGAACUGAGACACGGUCCAGACUCCUACGGGAGGCAGCAGUGGGGAAUAUUGGACAAUGGGCGCAAGCCUGAUCCAGCCAUACCGCGUGGGUGAAGAAGGCCUUCGGGUUGUAAAGCCCUUUUGUUGGGAAAGAAAAGCAGCUGGUUAAUACCCCGCUGUUCUGACGGUACCCAAAGAAUAAGCACCGGCUAACUUCGUG
rnacentral:rRNA from 1 species